UACGUAGGUGGCAAGCGUUGUCCGGAUUUACUGGGCGUAAAGAGCGCGCAGGCGGUCGUUUAAGUCGAAUGUGAAAGCCCCCGGCUCAACUGGGGAGGGUCAUUCGAUACUGAUCGACUCGAAGGCAGGAGAGAGAAGUGGAAUUCCCGGUAUAGUGGUGAAAUGCGUAGAUAUCGGGAGGAACACCAGUGGCGAAGGCGACUUCUUGGCCUGUUCUUGACGCUGAGGCGACGGAAAGCUGGG
rnacentral:rRNA from 1 species